ACAAGGAUUCCCCUAGUUACGGCGAGUGAAGAGGGAAGAGCUCAAAUUUGAAAGCUGGUACCUUCGGUAUCCGCGUUGUAACCUCGAGACACGUUUUCCGUGCGGCGCUAUGGACAAGUUCCUUGGAACAGGACAUCGUAGAGGGUGAAAAUCCCGUACUUGCCAUGGAUGUACCGUGCUUUGCGAUACGUGCUCUAAGAGUCGAGUUUGUUUGGGAUUGCAGCUCAAAAUGGGUGGUAGACUCCAUCUAAAGCUAAAUAUCGGGGAGAGACCGAUAGCGAACAAGUACCGUGAGGGAAAGAUGAAAAGCACUUUGGAAAGAGAGUUAAAAGUACGUGAAAUUGUCGAAAGGGAAGCGCUUGAAGUCAGCCAUGCCGCUCAGGACUCAGCCUGGCUUUUGCUUGGUGUAUUUCCUGGGUAGCAAGUCAGCAUUGGUUUGGAUCGUCGGAGAAGCAUAGUCGGAAUGUGGCGCCCUCGGGCGUGUUAUAGCCUUCUAUUGGAUACGACGAUCUAGACCAAGGAACGCAGCGCG
rnacentral:rRNA from 1 species